GUGCACAUCACGUUGACUUGCUUUUGGUAUGUGUAUUAGCAAUGUUAUUUCUGGUGUGCUAGAUAAAAUUGAAGGCAAAUUAGCAGCAUAGCUUAAUAUAGUUAUUGCUGCCAGUCUCCUUCAGACAGUC